ensembl:lncRNA
GGGGUGUUUAACUGAAGUGUUUGGCUGCAGCACCAUAGGUUAUACUCUAUUUUCUUGUGUUUAUUUUGGAUAUUCUUUCUAUCAUGCACACACACACAUACAUAUAAGAAUAGUUGAGAUGGGCUCUCAAAUGGGACAGGGGGACCCCUGCAGAUGGAGGUGGGCGUUACAUCCGCCCAGUGAGUCAUCAGUGCUAAAUUUACCAAAAUUGCUCGCUCACACAUUCUCACAUGCAAAAACACACUUAGAAUUGUUUUUAUCAUCAUUGUCUUUAUCAUUAUCACCAUCACAGGCUUCUACCACUACAUCAACUUUCCCACAUGGUCAAACACAUGGGAAGAAGAUGAGGUCAAAACUUGUAACCUUUCUGAUACAUCUAUCUUACAACAUCAAUGCUGUCUGAUGCUCAGACACACACACACACAGGGUGGCAGGUGUGAAAGGCAGGGUUUGAUGUCACAUCGUGGGCCAGUCCCUUCCCUAUUAGGCUGAGCAGACCACCUGUCUGGCUCUUGGAUGAAGAGCUGUGCUUCAGGCCCGCCGGACUCAUUAAGGCCCCGCGAGCAAUUACUGCCUCCUCCUGCCGAGAAAUCGACCCCAUGCCCCACUGAAGCUCUGCUGAAAUCCCUCAAUCCUCUCCUCACCACCUCCUCAUCUUGUGUUUUACCAAUUCACAAAAAAACUACCUACAAUGACCCAACUAUAUAACCCACCUUCACAUGCUAUUCAAAGAUCUAUUCCAGUAACAACGCCACAGUCCUGAUGACCCAGUGCCCUGUCUCUCAACCACACUGUGGGAUGGUGAAAAUCUGGACUUGUGUUACCAGCAAUUCUCAGUCAUCCUGACGAGUUUCCAAGGAGCUUUUUGCCAUCUCUGUUUCUCUGACCUUUGCAUUAAGGGCAGAUUUGAUGUCCUGAACAUUUAGGCUUUAUUGAUAUUUCCCAGUUCGUGUUGCUUCAUCACAAAUGAAGAGAGCAUGCAAAACAUCAUUAACCUUCAAAAAGGUUUUACAAUCGUUAGUAUCAGCUACAAAUUUCACAGUGCAUGUGUUAUUAUUAACCUUAACUCCAGAGACAAAAGAGUUGCCAGAAAUGGUGGUUCCAGGGGGGAAAUCAUCAUUUAUAAAUGACCCAAACAGGCAGUUUUAUUAUUUAUAAAACACUAUCCGAAUGUUUUUCACUUUUAUGAAGUCACAUCUUUUUUAUCCAAUCCAAGGAUUAUUUUUUGUAAUGUGAAAGAAUUGUUUGGUUACCAAUAAACAGAAGCAAUGUUAGCUUUUUUGAAGGUCC